rnacentral:rRNA from 1 species
AGUGAAUGCUAGAGGUAUGCUUAACACAUGCGAGUUUAACGAAAUAUUUUUAUUUAGUAGCGUACGGGUGCGUAAUGUAGGAGAACUAGUAAUUGAGUCUGGAACAAGAGAUUUUUCUGUAUAAAUUCCGGAUACUAAAGAUUUUAUCGCUCAAUUACGGGCUCCUAUAGGAUUAAGUUGUUGGUGGUGUAAUGGACUACCAAGCCUGAGAUCCUUAGUUGGUCUGAGAGGAUGAUCAGCCACACUGGGACUGAAACAAGGCCCAGACUUCCAUGGAGGGCAGCAGUGAGGAAUAUUGGACAAUGGGCGUAAGCUUGAUCCAGCAAUACCUACUGAGUGAUGAAGGGAACUCUGUAAAACUUAGGAAUGA